GAUGAACGCUAGCUACAGGCUUAACACAUGCAAGUCGAGGGGAAACGACAUCGAAAGCUUGCUUUUGGUGGGCGUCGACCGGCGCACGGGUGAGUAACGCGUAUCCAACCUGCCCACCACUUGGGGAUAACCUUGCGAAAGUAAGACUAAUACCCAAUGAUAUCCCACGAAGGCAUCCGAAUGGGAUUAAAGAUUUAUCGGUGAUGGAUGGGGAUGCGUCUGAUUAGCUUGUUGGCGGGGUAACGGCCCACCAAGGCAACGAUCAGUAGGGGUUCUGAGAGGAAGGUCCCCCCACAUUGGAACUGAGACACGGUCCAAACUCCUACGGGAGGCAGCAGUGAGGAAUAUUGGUCAAUGGGCGAGAGCCUGAACCAGCCAAGUAGCGUGCAGGAUGACGGCCCUAUGGGUUGUAAACUGCUUUUAUAAGGGAAUAAAGUGGGUCACGUGUGACUUUUUGCAUGUACCUUAUGAAUAAGGACCGGCUAAUUCCGUG
rnacentral:rRNA from 1 species